rnacentral:rRNA from 1 species
AGAGUUCGAUCAUGGCUCAGGAUGAACGCUGGCGGCGUGCUUAACACAUGCAAGUCGAACGGACUUGGAUGUCGGAAGUUUUCGGAUGGAAGAUAUCCAGGUUAGUGGCGGACGGGUGAGUAACGCGUGGGUAACCUGCCCUGUACCGGGGGAUAACACUUAGAAAUAGGUGCUAAUACCGCAUAAGUGCACAGAGUCGCAUGACUUAGUGUAAAAAACUCCGGUGGUACAGGAUGGACCCGCGUCUGAUUAGCUAGUUGGUGAGGUAACGGCCCACCAAGGCGACGAUCAGUAGCCGGCCUGAGAGGGUGAACGGCCACAUUGGGACUGAGACACGGCCCAA